rnacentral:misc_RNA from 1 species
UCUCCGUUGGUGAACCGGCGGAGGGAUUAAUACUGAGUGAGGGCUUCGGUCCGACCUCCAACCCUUUGUGAACCAAACUUGUUGCUUCGGGGGCGACCCUGCCGCUUCGGCGGGGCGGCGCCCCCGGAGGCCAUUAAACACUGCAUCAUUGCGUCGGAGUUAAAGUAAAUUAAACAAAACUUUCAACAACGGAUCUCUUGGUUCCAGCAUCGAUGAAGAACGCAGC